UGGGGAAUAUUGCACAAUGGGGGAAACCCUGAUGCAGCAACGCCGCGUGAGUGAUGACGGCCUUCGGGUUGUAAAGCUCUGUCUUCAGGGACGAUAAUGACGGUACCUGAGGAGGAAGCCACGGCUAACUACGUGCCAGCAGCCGCGGUAAUACGUAGGUGGCAAGCGUUGUCCGGAUUUACUGGGCGUAAAGGGAGCGUAGGCGGACUUUUAAGUGAGAUGUGAAAUACCCGGGCUCAACCUGGGUGCUGCAUUUUAAACUGGAAGUCUAGAGUGCAGGAGAGGAGAGUGGAAUUCCUAGUGUAGCGGUGAAAUGCGUAGAGAUUAGGAAGAACACCAGUGGCGAAGGCGACUCUCUGGACUGUAACUGACGCUGAGGCUCGAAAGCGUGGGGAGCAAACA
rnacentral:rRNA from 1 species